rnacentral:rRNA from 1 species
UACAUGUGGGGCAAGCGUUGUUCGGAAUUACUGGGCAUAAAGGGUGCGUAGGUGGUCUGGUAAGUCAGUGGUGAAAUCGUCCGGCCCAAACGGACACGUGCCAAUGAUACUGCCGGACUCGAGUGCGUGAGGGGUAGGGGGAACGAGCAGUGUAGCGGUGAAAUGCGUAGAUAUUGCUCGGAAGGCCAAAGCCGAAGGGACCCCACUGGUACGUAACUGACACUGAGGCACGAAAGCGUGGGGAGCAAACAGG